rfam:Schistosoma rodhaini strain Burundi genome assembly, scaffold: SROB_scaffold0002725
GCAUUAUUGUGGAGUCCCAUAAUAGGACGAAACGGCCGUCCAGUGC